GGGGAAUCUUCCGCAAUGGGCGAAAGCCUGACGGAGCAACGCCGCGUGAGUGAUGACGGCCUUCGGGUUGUAAAACUCUGUGAUCCGGGACGAAAAGGCAGAGUGCGAAGAACAAACUGCAUUGACGGUACCGGAAAAGCAAGCCACGGCUAACUACGUGCCAGCAGCCGCGGUAAUACGUAGGUGGCAAGCGUUGUCCGGAAUUAUUGGGCGUAAAGCGCGCGCAGGCGGCUUCCCAAGUCCCUCUUAAAAGUGCGGGGCUUAACCCCGUGAUGGGAAGGAAACUGGGAAGCUGGAGUAUCGGAGAGGAAAGUGGAAUUCCUAGUGUAGCGGUGAAAUGCGUAGAGAUUAGGAAGAACACCGGUGGCGAAGGCGACUUUCUGGACGAAAACUGACGCUGAGGCGCGAAAGUGUGGGGAGCAAACAGGAUUAGAUACCCUGGUAGUCCACGCCGUAAACGAUGGAUACUAGGUGUAGGAGGUAUCGACCCCUCCUGUGCCGGAGUUAACGCAAUAAGUAUCCCGCCUGGGAAGUACGAUCGCAAGAUUAAAACUCAAAGGAAUUGACGGGGACCCGCACAAGCGGUGGAGCAUGUGGUUUAAUUCGAAGCAACGCGAAGAACCUUACCAGAUCUUGACAUCCCUCUGACCGUCCCGUAAUGGGGGCUUUCCUUCGGGACAGAGGAGACAGGUGGUGCAUGGUUGUCGUCAGCUCGUGUCGUGAGAUGUUGGGUUAAGUCCCGCAACGAGCGCAACCCUUAUCGUCAGUAGCCAGCAGGUAAAGCUGGGCACUCUGGCGAGACUGCCGGAGAUAAUCCGGAGGAAGGUGGGGAUGACGUCAAAUCAUCAUGCCCCUUAUGAUCUGGGCUACACACGUGCUACAAUGGCGUUUAACAAAGAGAAGCGAAGCUGUGAGGCAGAGCAAAUCUCAAAAACAACGUCUCAGUUCGGAUUGUAGUCUGCAACUCGACUACAUGAAGCUGGAAUCGCUAGUAAUCGCGAAUCAGAAUGUCGCGGUGAAUACGUUCCCG
rnacentral:rRNA from 1 species